rnacentral:rRNA from 1 species
AGUGAACGCUGGCGGUAGGCCUAACACAUGCAAGUCGAACGGCAGCACAGUAAGAGCUUGCUCUUACGGGUGGCGAGUGGCGGACGGGUGAGGAAUACAUCGGAAUCUACUUUUUCGUGGGGGAUAACGUAGGGAAACUUACGCUAAUACCGCAUACGACCUACGGGUGAAAGCAGGGGAUCUUCGGACCUUGCGCGAUUGAAUGCGCCGAUGUCGGAUUAGCUAGUUGGCGGGGUAAAGGCCCACCAAGGCGACGAUCCGUAGCUGGUCUGAGAGGAUGAUCGGCCGCACUGGAGCGGAGACACGGUCCAGGCUCCUACGGGAGGCAGCAGUGGGGAAUAUUGGGCAAUGGGCGCAAGCCUGAUCCAGCCAGACCGCGUGGGUGGAGAAGGCCUUCGGGUUGUAAAGCCCUUUUGUUGGGAAAGAAAAGCAGCAGGUUAAGACCCCGCUGUUCUGACGGUACCCAAAGAAUAAGCACCGGCUAACUUCGUG